UGGGGGUAUAGCUCAGUUGGGAGAGCACCUGCCUUGCAAGCAGGGGGUCGCGAGUUCGAGUCUCGCUAUCUCCAU
rnacentral:tRNA from 1 species